rnacentral:misc_RNA from 1 species
ACAAGUCUGCUGUCCGUCCUUGUGCUGGCGUGGAAGUACCCUUCUGCGCCAAGUGCAAGGAUGACAUUUGUUCCAUGUGCACGUUUGCUCUGCACAUGACAUUCUACGAAUCAUCUGAUCAUCGACAAUUGAACAAA